rnacentral:rRNA from 1 species
UGGGGAAUAUUGCACAAUGGGCGCAAGCCUGAUGCAGCAACGCCGCGUGAACGAUGAAGGUCUUCGGAUCGUAAAGCUCUGUUGCAGGGGAAGAUAAUGACGGUACCCUGUGAGGAAGCCCCGGCUAACUACGUGCCAGCAGCCGCGGUAAUACGUAGGGGGCUAGCGUUAUCCGGAUUUACUGGGCGUAAAGGGUGCGUAGGUGGUCUUUCAAGUCGGUGGUUAAAGGCUACGGCUCAACCGUAGUUAGCCUCCGAAACUGGAAGACUUGAGUGCAGGAGAGGAAAGGGGAAUUCCCAGUGUAGCGGUGAAAUGCGUAGAUAUUGGGAGGAACACCAGUAGCGAAGGCGGCUUUCUGGACUGCAACUGACACUGAGGCACGAAAGCGUGGGUAGCAAACAGG